rnacentral:rRNA from 1 species
AUUGAACGCUGGCGGCAGGCCUAACACAUGCAAGUCGAACGGUAACAGGAAGCAGCUUGCUGCUUCGCUGACGAGUGGCGGACGGGUGAGUAAUGUCUGGGAAACUGCCUGAUGGAGGGGGAUAACUACUGGAAACGGUAGCUAAUACCGCAUAACGUCGCAAGACCAAAGAGGGGGACCUUAGGGCCUCUUGCCAUCGGAUGUGCCCAGAUGGGAUUAGCUAGUAGGUGGGGUAACGGCUCACCUAGGCGACGAUCCCUAGCUGGUCUGAGAGGAUGACCAGCCACACUGGAACUGAGACACGGCCCAGACUCCUACGGGAGGCAGCAGUGGGGAAUAUUGCACAAUGGGCGCAAGCCUGAUGCAGCCAUGCCGCGUGUAUGAAGAAGGCCUUCGGGUUGUAAAGUACUUUCAGCGGGGAGGAAGGGAGUAAAGUUAAUACCUUUGCUCAUUGACGUUACCCGCAGAAGAAGCACCGGCUAACUCCGUG